AAGCUGCUGCCAUAAAGGAAUUUCUUCUGCUUUAUGGUGUUGGAAAAGAAGAAUCACUUCAGGGUUCUAUUACAUAUACUUCGGUAGAUUCUAAUGUCGAAAAAGAAACAUCUUGUGUGGUACAGACCGGAGAAUCAACAACGAAUGGCCAAGAAAAUAUCGAUACUGAAAUGAGUUUAUUUGAGAUGUCUAAUAAAAAUAGAAAGAUAUUCGAACCAUGAAGGUACCCAAGAUUUGUGGACCCACUUGGAUAACUGGACGACUAUCUUACAAUGGUAAAUCUCUUUGGAGCAUUACCUGCGUCAAAGAGCAAGAAAAUUGAUGUAGAUCUUGUACACAAAAUCCGAAGACAGUAAUAUCCUAUCUUCUUCACAAUGAACCUGGUGCACGGAUGCACCUGGUUUAAGACUUAGCCGUGAAGAUGAAGAGGAUCAAGAUACAAGAGAAUGUAAAAAUCUCUUCAAAAAUCUCAAAUUCUUCUUGAUUAGGGAGGACUCCUCCACCUCACUUGUCACCUUUUGUUAACUACGAUGAAGAAGGCUACAUUUCCGACAAUGCAAAGACUAUCAACCACUUGCAAUCUGCUGCCACAGAGGAAUUUCUUCCGCUUCCUGGUGUUGGAAAAGACGAUUCACUUCAGGGUGCUAUUACAUAUAUUUCAGCAGAUUCUAAUGUUGAAAAAGAAAUAUCUUCUAGUGUGGUACAGACCGAAGAAUCAACAACGAAUGGCCAAGAAAAUGUCGAUACUGAUAUGAGUUUACUUGUGAUGUCUCGUAAAAAUAUUAAGAUAUUCGAAGCCAUGAGAUAUCUAAUAAGCGCAAGCAGAAUGAGACUGAUCACAUCAACAGCGGAAAAUGAAAUUAGAUGAUGCUAAGGGUCAAAGAAGUUGAAGACUCUAGCUAUGACUUCAUUUUUGGUAUUGAAAUUAAGGCAAGAUGAAUGUGUUUUAAUUUUAAGGUAGAAAAAGCCUUAUAGCUCAAAGAGUUCAUGCAAGCGACUUUGUUUUUAUUGAAUCAUAAAGAGAUUAGCGGGGGCUCAAAAAUUUGAUUUGUUAGGCACGGGCCGGGGGGUCCUAUAUUUUUCGGUACAAAUUCCACGGGAUAUCUUAUAUAAAUGUUUUCUAGAUGUCAAAACUCUUAGUUUAGUUGUUAA